CGGGGUGUGGCUCAGUUUGGUAGAGCGCCACGUUCGGAACGUGGAGGCCGGAGGUUCAAAUCCUCUCACCCCGA
rnacentral:tRNA from 1 species